AUUUCCUAGAACUUUUGUACUUUAGCUUGCAGUCGUACGUAUGCGCAUCAUUACCAACGCGAUACAUGUUCUUGUCAAGUGCAUGUUCAUUUGACGAAUUGUGCUUCGUAAUUCAAGCGCCAUUGAUCAGAUAUUCGAAAAUGAAUUGCGUUAGCGUCAGCCAACCAAGAUAUAUUCUCAAAGAAAGUGAUAUUUGUCUUAUAUAAUCAUAGAUGAGGUUGAAGAUUAUGCGGAAUUGUCGUCCGCGUUCAUUUAAUGAUUUUCAGGAAACGUUGUGUAAUCCCCCGCGGAUUUUCUGAUCGUACAACCACACAUUUUCUCGGAACAUAAAUUCGCUAAAGAAUUUCCAACGGCAAGUACAUCGAAUUUAUGCCAUCAUACAUUUUUCAUUACGAAGACACUUAACGUAUCGAUGAAUCUUUUUACGCUACUAGUAUUCUGUGGUUACGCAUCAUGGAUUAGAUCACAUACGUAUUGUGAAGGAAGACAUUGAUUUAUAGCGACCCAUCAGCCUUUGCGCGGCUCAUGUGAAGCCUCCUCCACGAGAGACCUUCAGGACCGUCUUGCUCCUCCGUGUGAUGGGAAGAUGGUGUCUGUGGUACCUGCGAUCCUGCGCACGUACAGCAACAUGUGACCGGCGUGUUGCUUCCCAACAUAUGACUGUUCGAAUAAGGACUCGAAAACGGAAGGCUCGCACAACGACACUGAACGUUGGAGCUGAUCUGAUGACGGAGCGCAUUUCUCAGGACACGCUGUUUAGAGCCACUAAACUACUUGCGGAAUAGUGCACGUUUCAUGCAAGUGUCCCGGACGGGAACGAGUAUCUGCAAGUCUC